rnacentral:ncRNA from 2 species
AAAAUGAAAUAACUGGAAACUUAUAUAGGUUCAUAAUCGGUUGAACGUUUCUACCAACUACCGGAAUAGUUGUCUAUAAGCAUCCGCAUGAGAAGU